rnacentral:rRNA from 1 species
AGGACGAACGCUGGCGGCGUGCUUAACACAUGCAAGUCGAGCGGAAAGGCCCUUCGGGGUACUCGAGCGGCGAACGGGUGAGUAACACGUGAGCAACCUGGCCCUUGCUUUGGGAUAACCCCGGGAAACCGGGGCUAAUACCGAAUAUUCACUGUCUGCCGCAUGGUGGGUGGUGGAAAGAUUUAUUGGCGGGGGAUGGGCUCGCGGCCUAUCAGCUUGUUGGUGGGGUGAUGGCCUACCAAGGCGACGACGGGUA